rnacentral:rRNA from 1 species
GACGAACGCUGGCGGCGUGCUUAAUACAUGCAAGUAGAACGCACAGUUUAUACCGUAGCUUGCUACACCAUAAACUGUGAGUUGCGAACGGGUGAGUAACGCGUAGGUUACCUGCACGGUAGCGGGGGAUAACUAUUGGAAACGAUAGCUAAUACCGCCUAAUAUUGAUUAUUGCAUGAUAAUUGAUUGAAAGUUGCUAUUGCAUCACUACCAGUUGGACCUGCGUUGUAUUAGCUAGUAGGUGAGGUAACGGCUCACCUAGGCGAGGAUACAUAGCCGACCUGAGAGGAUGGUCAGCCAGCCUGGGACGGAGACCGGGCCCAGACUGCUACAGGAAGCAGCAAGAGGGAUUCUGGAGCAAGGGACGAGAAUCUGAGCGAGCAAGGCCGAAGGAGUGAAGAGGGUUGUCGGAUCGUAAAGCUCUGUUGUAAGGGAGGAACGGGUGUGAGGGUGGAAAGUUCACUCUGUGACGGUAUCUGACCAAAAAGGGACGGCUAACUACGUG